GCUGCAUGCUUUAUACAUGCAAGUCGAACGAAGGCCCUAGCUUGCUAGGUGUCCUUAGUGGCGCACGGGUGAGUAACACGUGGGAACAUACCUUAUAGUACGGAAUAACUGCGGGAAACUGUAGCUAAUACCGUAUAUUCCAGUAAUGGGAAAGAUUUAUCGCUAUAAGAUUGGCCCGCGCAAGAUUAGCUUGUUGGUGAGGUAAAAGCUCACCAAGGCUUCGAUCUUUAGCUGGUUUGAGAGGAUGAUCAGCCACACUGGGACUGAGACACGGCCCAGACUCCUACGGGAGGCAGCAGUAGGGAAUAUUGGACAAUGGGGGCAACCCUGAUCCAGCAAUGCAGCGUGAGUGACGAAGGCCUUAGGGUUGUAAAACUCUUUCAUCGGUGAGG
rnacentral:rRNA from 1 species